rnacentral:lncRNA from 10 species
CAGUUUCACUCCCACCAUGCCCCCAGCCCCACCCAAAAGCACUGAGUUUAUUUCUAGGCAGCUGAUGAGCAGGACCGAGAACUUGCCCCAGGCUACAAGCCUCCCAGCUGAGAAAGCAAGGGGACUCACAGUUCCUUGGCUGCCCAUGGAGCCUGCAGUGGCAAUCAACUGUCUUCAACGCAUCUGUGGAUUCUCUCAGCUUUCCUGGAGGAAGAGCAGAAUAUCUAUUUUUAAUCGCUGUUGAAAGAACUAACCAAGAUAACUCACAGAAUAUGUCU